rnacentral:tRNA from 1 species
GGAGAGGUGGCCGAGAGGCUGAAGGCGCACGCUUGGAAAGCGUGUAGGCGGGAAACCGUCUCGUGGGUUCGAAUCCCACCCUCUCCGCCA